CCUACGGGUGGCAGCAGUGAGGAAUAUUGGUCAAUGGGCGGAAGCCUGAACCAGCCAAGUAGCGUGCAGGAUGACGGCCCUACGGGUUGUAAACUGCUUUUAUACGGGAAUAACGCGCCUUACGUGUAGGGCUCUGCAUGUACCCUAUGAAUAAGGACCGGCUAAUUCCGUGCCAGCAGCCGCGGUAAUACGGAAGGUGCGAGCGUUGUUCGGAAUUACUGGGCGUAAAGGGAGUGUAGGCGGAUAUGUAAGAUAGCGGUGAAAUGCCGGGGCUCAACCCCGGAACUGCCAUUAUGACUGUGUAUCUAGAGUGAUGGAGAGGUAAGCGGAAUGCGCAGUGUAGAGGUGAAAUUCGUAGAUAUUGGGUAGAACACCGGUGGCGAAGGCGGCUAUCUGGCCAUUUACUGACGCUGAGGCUCGAAAGCGUGGGGAUCAAACAGGAUUAGAUACCCUAGUAGUA
rnacentral:rRNA from 1 species